UAACGCGUGGGUAACCUGCCCUGUACAGGGGGAUAACAGUUGGAAACGGCUGCUAAUACCGCAUAAGCGACACGAGAGGACAUCCUCUUGUGUGAAAAACUCCGGUGGUACAGGAUGGGCCCGCGUCUGAUUAGCUGGUUGGCAGGGUAACGGCCUACCAAGGCGACGAUCAGUAGCCGGUCUGAGAGGAUGAACGGCCACAUUGGAACUGAGACACGGUCCAAACUCCUACGGGAGGCAGCAGUGGGGAAUAUUGCACAAUGGGGGAAACCCUGAUGCAGCAACGCCGCGUGAGUGAAGAAGUAUUUCGGUAUGUAAAGCUCUAUCAGCAGGGAAGAUAAUGACGGUACCUGACUAAGAAGCUCCGGCUAAAUACGUGCCAGCAGCCGCGGUAAUACGUAUGGAGCAAGCGUUAUCCGGAUUUACUGGGUGUAAAGGGUGCGUAGGUGGCAGUGCAAGUCAGAUGUGAAAGGCCGGGGCUCAACCCCGGAGCUGCAUUUGAAACUGCAUAGCUAGAGUACAGGAGAGGCAGGCGGAAUUCCUAGUGUAGCGGUGAAAUGCGUAGAUAUUAGGAGGAACACCAGUGGCGA
rnacentral:rRNA from 1 species